GGCCAAAUGGUCUAGUGGUAUGAUUCUUGCUUUGGGUUCUAGGUGACGCAACUGCAAGAGGUCCCGUGUUCAAUCCACGGUUUGGCCC
rnacentral:tRNA from 1 species